UACGUAGGGUGCGAGCGUUGUCCGGAAUUACUGGGCGUAAAGAGCUCGUAGGUGGUUUGUCGCGUUGUUCGUGAAAACUCACAGCUUAACUGUGGGCGUGCGGGCGAUACGGGCAGACUGGAGUACUGCAGGGGAGACUGGAAUUCCUGGUGUAGCGGUGAAAUGCGCAGAUAUCAGGAGGAACACCGGUGGCGAAGGCGGGUCUCUGGGCAGUAACUGACGCUGAGGAGCGAAAGCGUGGGGGAGCGAACAGG
rnacentral:rRNA from 1 species